rnacentral:rRNA from 1 species
ACGUAGGGCGCGAGCGUUGUCCGGAAUUAUUGGGCGUAAAGAGCUCGUAGGCGGUUUGUUGCGUCUGCCGUGAAAACCCGAGGCUUAACCUCGUGGCUUGCGGUGGAUACGGGCAGACUUGAGGUAGGCAGGGGAGAAUGGAAUUCCCGGUGUAGCGGUGAAAUGCGCAGAUAUCGGGAGGAACACCGGUGGCGAAGGCGGUUGUCUGGGCCUUGCCUGACGCUGAGGAGCGAAAGCGUGGGGAGCGAACAGGA